rnacentral:rRNA from 1 species
AACGGCAGCGCGGGAGCAAUCCUGGCGGCGAGUGGCGAACGGGUGAGUAAUACAUCGGAACGUGCCCAAUCGUGGGGGAUAACGCAGCGAAAGCUGUGCUAAUACCGCAUACGAUCUACGGAUGAAAGCAGGGGAUCGCAAGACCUUGCGCGAAUGGAGCGGCCGAUGGCAGAUUAGGUAGUUGGUGGGGUAAAGGCUCACCAAGCCUUCGAUCUGUAGCUGGUCUGAGAGGACGACCAGCCACACUGGGACUGAGACACGGCCCAGACUCCUACGGGAGGCAGCAGUGGGGAAUUUUGGACAAUGGGCGCAAGCCUGAUCCAGCCAUGCCGCGUGCAGGAUGAAGGCCUUCGGGUUGUAAACUGCUUUUGUACGGAACGAAACGGCCUUUUCUAAUAAAGAGGGCUAAUGACGGUACCGUAAGAAUAAGCACCGGCUAACUACGUG